UAUAUACUCCCUCCGUCCGGAAAUACUUAUCAUCAAAAUGGAUAAAAGGGAUGUAUCUAGAUGUAUUUUAGUUUUAGAUACAUCCCUUUUUGUCCAUUUUGAUGACAAGUAUUUUCGGACAGAGGGAGUAUAAU
rnacentral:pre_miRNA from 1 species